rnacentral:rRNA from 1 species
UCUGUGGGGACACAGGCAGAGAGCGUGAGCCGGGAAUGGAAAGACCGGUACAAGCGAGGUAGGAGAAGAGUUGGCAAAUCCGCUCUUUAAUCUGAAGACGUGAUGUGGACUGAAAAUAAGUAGGGAAGCACGUGAGCUGACUGUCAAGAAAAGCCGCUAUUGUUUGCAGGAUACCCGUACCGUAAACCGACACAGGUGGAUGAGGAGAGAAUCCUAAGGCCGACGGGAGAAGCAUUGUUAAGGAACUCGGCAAAAUGACUCCGUAACUUCGGGAGAAGGAGUGCCAGUAAGAUGGCCGCAGAGAAUUGGCCCAAGCAACUGUUUAGCAAAAACACAGGUCUAUGCAAAACCGAAAGGUGAGGUAUAUGGGCUGACGCCUGCCCGGUGCUGGAAGGUUAAGGGGAGAGGUUAGCGCAAGCGAAGCUUUGAACUUAAGCCCCAGUAAACGGCGGCCGUAACGAUAACGGUCCUAAGGUAGCGAAAUUCCUUGUCGGGUAAGUUCCGACCCGCACGAAAGGCGUAAUGAUUUGGGCACUGUCUCAACAAUGCACCCGGUGAAAUUGAAAUACCAGUGAAGAUGCUGGUUACCUGCGCCAGGACGGAAAGACCCCAUGGAGCUUUACUCCAGCUUGAUACUGGGAUUCGGUAUUGCAUGUACAGGAUAGGUGGGAGGCUAGGAAAUGGUAACGCCAGUUGCCAUGGAGCCAAUGUUGGGAUACCACCCUUGCAGUACUGGGUUUCUAACCAGCAGCCGUGAUCCGGCUGGGGGACAAUGUCAGGUGGGGAGUUUGACUGGGGCGGUCGCCUCCGAAAGGGUAUCGGAGGCGCUCAAAGGUUCCCUCAGAAUGGUUGGAAACCAUUCGAAGAGUGCAAAGGCAGAAGGGAGCUUGACUGCGACACCGACGGGUGGAGCAGGUACGAAAGUAGGACUUAGUGAUCCGGUGGUAUAAAGUGGGAUUGCCAUCGCUCAACGGAUAAAAGCUACCCUGGGAUAACAGGCUUAUCACUCCCAAGAGUUCACAUCGACGGAGUGGUUUGGCACCUCGAUGUCGGCUCAUCGCAUCCUGGGGCUGAAGUAGGUCCCAAGGGUUGGGCUGUUCGCCCAUUAAAGCGGUACGCGAGCUGGGUUCAGAACGUCGUGAGACAGUUCGGUCCCUAUCCGGCGUGGGCGUAAGAUAUUUGAGAGGAGCUGUCCUUAGUACGAGAGGACCGGGAUGGACUGGCCGCUGGUGUAUCUGUUGUCUUACCAAAGGCAUAGCAGAGUAGCCAAGCCGGGAAGGGAUAAACGCUGAAGGCAUCUAAGCGUGAAGCCCCCCUCAAGAUGAGAUAUCUCAUAACGUCAAGUUAGUAAGACCCCUUGAAGACGACGAGGUAGAUAGGGCAGAGGUGGAAGUGUGGUAACACAUGGAGCUGACUGUUACUAAUAGGUCGAGGGCAUAAC